rnacentral:rRNA from 1 species
GUGGCAGCCGCCGCGGUAAUACGAAGGGACCUAGCGUAGUUCGGAAUUACUGGGCUUAAAGAGCACGUAGGUGGUUAAAAAAGUUGGUGGUGAAAUCCCAGAGCUUAACUCUGGAACUGCCAUCAAAACUUUUUAGCUAGAGUAUGAUAGAGGAAAGUAGAAUUUCUAGUGUAGAGGUGAAAUUCGUAGAUAUUAGAAAGAAUACCAAUUGCGAAGGCAACUUUCUGGAUCAUUACUGACACUGAGGUGCGAAAGCAUGGGUAGCGAAGAGGAUUAGAUACCCUCGUAGUCCAUGCCGUAAACGAUGUGUGCUAGACGUUGGAAAUUUAUUUUCAGUGUCGCAGCAAAAGCGUUAAGCACACCGCCUGGGGAGUACGACCGCAAGGUUAAAACUCAAAUGAAUUGACGGGGACCCGCACAAGUAGUGGAGCAUGUGGUUUAAUUCGAAGAUACGCGCAGAACCUUACCAACACUUGACAUGUUCGUCGCGACUCUAAGAGAUUAGAGUUUUCGGUUCGGCCGGACGAAACACAGGUGCUGCAUGGCUGUCGUCAGCUCGUGUCGUGAGAUGUUGGGUUAAGUCCCGCAACGAGCGCAACCCUUACUUUUAGUUGCCACCAUUAAGUUGAGCACUCUGAAAGAACUGCCAGUGAUAAGCUGGAGGAAGGUGGGGAUGACGUCAAGUCCUCAUGGCCCUUACGUGUUGGGCUACACACGUGCUACAAUGGCACUCACAAUAGGAAGUAAAGAGGUGACUCUAAGCAAAUCCUAAAAAAGUGCCUCAGUUCGGAUUGUACUCUGCAACUCGAGUACAUGAAGCUGGAAUUACUAGUAAUCGCGGAUCAGCGCGCCGCGGUGAAUACGUUCCCGGGUCUUGCACACACCGCCCGUC